CACGUACUGUGCGAACGUUAUUCGGAAUCACUGGGCUUAAAGGGUGCGUAGGCGGCGAUUCAAGUCAGAUGUGAAAUGCCUGAGCUCAACUGAGGCAUUGCGUUUGAAACUGAAUUGCUAGAGUAUCCUAGGGGUGUGCGGAACUGCCAGUGGAACGGUGAAAUGUGUUGAUAUUGGCAGGAACACCGGAGGCGAAAGCGGCACACUGGGGGAUAACUGACGCUGAGGCACGAAAGCCAAGGGAGCGAACGGG
rnacentral:rRNA from 2 species